rnacentral:misc_RNA from 1 species
UAACUCUUGAUUACUCUGGUC